rnacentral:rRNA from 1 species
GACGAACGCUGGCGGCGUGCUUAACACAUGCAAGUCGAACGGAAAGGCUCCAGCUUGCUGGAGUACUCGAGUGGCGAACGGGUGAGUAACACGUGGGUAAUCUGCCCUGCACUCUGGGAUAAGCCUGGGAAACUGGGUCUAAUACUGGAUAUGACCUUUCUCCUUAUGGGGUUUGGUGGAAAGUUUUUCGGUGUAGGAUGAGCCCGCGGCCUAUCAGCUUGUUGGUGGGGUGAUGGCCUACCAAGGCGACGACGGGUAGCCGGCCUGAGAGGGUGAUCGGCCACAUUGGGACUGUGAUACGGCCCAGACUCCUACGGGAGGCAGCAGUGGGGAAUAUUGCACAAUGGGCGGAAGCCUGAUGCAGCGACGCCGCGUGAGGGAUGACGGCCUUCGGGUUGUAAACCUCUUUCAGCAGGGACGAAGCGUAAGUGACGGUACCUGCAGAAGAAGCACCGGCUAACUACGUG